CACCAGGGUAUGCUCUGAUCAUUUGUGGAUGGAAUUUGUCCAAACUCCAUGAACAGGAACAAGGUGCCAACAAAAUACCUUGCGCAGAAGAUCCUUUCUACCAAGAAAGAAUAGACAUGUAAAUCUUUAAUAAAGGUGUUUGAAAGUGCUGAUCAGUCCUGGUGAUUCUUCAAGUCCACAGAGUUAGUAAUUCCUUGGAUCAGACUCAAUCAUUUCAUGGCUAUGCCAAAUCACAUGCUGAUGACACCAGUGUCGGUGAUGAAAGCUCUGGAAGUGUCGGCGUUCAGGCAUCUCCUUACAUGCAUGAAAUCUCCACAUAUACCGAAAGACCAGAAAUAACCAUCAAAGACAUUAAUGCAUCGGGCAAUAAAAUCAUGUUUUAUACUGGCUAGGCAACUUUCUUUUUUUAAAUUCUGUGUUUUUGACAUUUAUUGAAUUUGGUACAGACAAGUA